rnacentral:rRNA from 1 species
UACGCAGGUGGCAAGCGUUAUCCGGAUUUACUGGGCGUAAAGCGUGCGUAGGUGUCUCGUUAGGUCUCCGGUGAAAUCCCCCGGCUCAACUGGGGAAUGGUCGGAGAUACCGGCGAGAUUGAGUGUGACAGAGGCAGAUGGAAUUCCUGGUGUAGCGGUAAAAUGCGUUGAUAUCAGGAGGAACACCGAUGGCGAAGGCAAUCUGCUGGGUCAUCACUGACACUGAGGCACGAAAGCGUGGGGAGCGAACGGG